UGCCCGGAAAUUAUUGAGGGCUUUCGGC
rnacentral:piRNA from 1 species